rnacentral:rRNA from 1 species
AACGAACGCUGGCGGCAUGCCUAACACAUGCAAGUCGAACGAGACCUUCGGGUCUAGUGGCGCACGGGUGCGUAACGCGUGGGAACCUGCCCUUAGGUUCGGAAUAACUCCCCGAAAGGGGUGCUAAUACCGGAUAAUGUCUUCGGACCAAAGAUUUAUCGCCUUUGGAUGGGCCCGCGUUGGAUUAGCUAGUUGGUAGGGUAAAAGCCUACCAAGGCGACGAUCCAUAGCUGGUCUGAGAGGAUGAUCAGCCACACUGGGACUGAGACACGGCCCAGACUCCUACGGGAGGCAGCAGUGGGGAAUAUUGGACAAUGGGCGAAAGCCUGAUCCAGCAAUGCCGCGUGAGUGAUGAAGGCCUUAGGGUUGUAAAGCUCUUUUACCCGGGACGAUAAUGACAGUACCGAGAGAAUAAGCUCCGGCUAACUCCGUG